rnacentral:rRNA from 1 species
GGGCCCGCACAAGCGGUGGAGCAUGUGGUUUAAUUCGAUGAUACGCGAGGAACCUUACCAGGACUUAAAUGUAAGUUGCAUGAUUCAGAAAUGAAUCUUUCUUCGGACUACUUACAAGGUGCUGCAUGGUUGUCGUCAGCUCGUGCCGUGAGGUGUCAGGUUAAGUCCUAUAACGAGCGCAACCCCUAUCGUUAGUUGCCAUCAAGUAAAGUUGGGAACUCUAGCGAAACUGCCGGUGCAAACCGAGAGGAAGGUGGGGAUGACGUCAAAUCAUCACGGCCCUUACGUUCUGGGCUACACACGUGCUACAAUGGUCGGUACAGAAAGCAGCCACUAUGCGAAUAGGAGCUAAUCUUUAAAACCGAUCUCAGUUCGGAUCGCAGUCUGCAACUCGACUGCGUGAAGCUGGAAUCGCUAG